GGUUAAGCGACUAAGCGUACACGGUGGAUGCCCUGGCAGUCAGAGGCGAUGAAGGACGUGCUAAUCUGCGAUAAGCGCCGGUAAGGUGAUAUGAACCGUUAUAACCGGCGAUUUCCGAAUGGGGAAACCCAGUGUGAUUCGUCACACUAUCAUUAACUGAAUCCAUAGGUUAAUGAGGCGAACCGGGGGAACUGAAACAUCUAAGUACCCCGAGGAAAAGAAAUCAACCGAGAUUCCCCCAGUAGCGGCGAGCGAACGGGGAGGAGCCCAGAGCCUGAAUCAGCAUGUGUGUUAGUGGAAGCGUCUGGAAAGGCGCGCGAUACAGGGUGACAGCCCCGUACACAAAAGCGCAUGUGCUGUGAGCUCGAUGAGUAGGGCGGGACACGUGGUAUCCUGUCUGAAUAUGGGGGGACCAUCCUCCAAGGCUAAAUACUCCUGACUGACCGAUAGUGAACCAGUACCGUGAGGGAAAGGCGAAAAGAACCCCGGCGAGGGGAGUGAAAAAGAACCUGAAACCGUGUACGUACAAGCAGUGGGAGCACAGGUUUACCUGUGUGACUGCGUACCUUUUGUAUAAUGGGUCAGCGACUUAUAUUCUGUAGCAAGGUUAACCGAAUAGGGGAGCCGGAGGGAAACCGAGUCUUAAUUGGGCGUUAAGUUGCAGGGUAUAGACCCGAAACCCGGUGAUCUAGCCAUGGGCAGGUUGAAGGUUGGGUAACACUAACUGGAGGACCGAACCGACUAAUGUUGAAAAAUUAGCGGAUGACCUGUGGCUGGGGGUGAAAGGCCAAUCAAACCGGGAGAUAGCUGGUUCUCCCCGAAAGCUAUUUAGGUAGCGCCUCGUGAAUUCAUCUCCGGGGGUAGAGCACUGUUUCGGCUAGGGGGCCAUCCCGGCUUACCAACCCGAUGCAAACUGCGAAUACCGGAGAAUGUUAUCACGGGAGACACACGGCGGGUGCUAACGUCCGUCGUGAAGAGGGAAACAACCCAGACCGCCAGCUAAGGUCCCAAAGUCAUGGUUAAGUGGGAAACGAUGUGGGAAGGCCCAGACAGCCAGGAUGUUGGCUUAGAAGCAGCCAUCAUUUAAAGAAAGCGUAAUAGCUCACUGGUCGAGUCGGCCUGCGCGGAAGAUGUAACGGGGCUAAACCAUGCACCGAAGCUGCGGCAGCGAACGUAUCACUUAAAGCGAUUCAGCGGGUUACGAUUGACGGAGCGAAGCGACGUCAAAGCGUAUACAAAGUCGAGUCGGUUUAAGGAUACGUUCGUUGGGUAGGGGAGCGUUCUGUAAGCCUGCGAAGGUGGCCUGUGAGGGUUGCUGGAGGUAUCAGAAGUGCGAAUGCUGACAUAAGUAACGAUAAAGCGGGUGAAAAGCCCGCUCGCCGGAAGACCAAGGGUUCCUGUCCAACGUUAAUCGGGGCAGGGUGAGUCGACCCCUAAGGCGAGGCCGAAAGGCGUAGUCGAUGGGAAACGGGUUAAUAUUCCCGUACUUGGUGUUACUGCGAAGGGGGGACGGAGAAGGCUAUGUUGGCCGGGCGACGGUUGUCCCGGUUUAAGCGUGUAGGUGUGUGUUCCAGGUAAAUCCGGUUCACUUUAACACUGAGGCGUGAUGACGAGGCACUACGGUGCUGAAGCAACAAAUGCCCUGCUUCCAGGAAAAGCCUCUAAGCAUCAGGUAACAUCAAAUCGUACCCCAAACCGACACAGGUGGUCAGGUAGAGAAUACCAAGGCGCUUGAGAGAACUCGGGUGAAGGAACUAGGCAAAAUGGUGCCGUAACUUCGGGAGAAGGCACGCUGACAUGUAGGUGAAGUGAUUUACUCAUGGAGCUGAAGUCAGUCGAAGAUACCAGCUGGCUGCAACUGUUUAUUAAAAACACAGCACUGUGCAAACACGAAAGUGGACGUAUACGGUGUGACGCCUGCCCGGUGCCGGAAGGUUAAUUGAUGGGGUCAGCGCAAGCGAAGCUCCUGAUCGAAGCCCCGGUAAACGGCGGCCGUAACUAUAACGGUCCUAAGGUAGCGAAAUUCCUUGUCGGGUAAGUUCCGACCUGCACGAAUGGCGUAAUGAUGGCCAGGCUGUCUCCACCCGAGACUCAGUGAAAUUGAACUCGCUGUGAAGAUGCAGUGUACCCGCGGCAAGACGGAAAGACCCCGUGAACCUUUACUAUAGCUUGACACUGAACAUUGAGCCUUGAUGUGUAGGAUAGGUGGGAGGCUUUGAAGCGUGGACGCCAGUCUGCGUGGAGCCGACCUUGAAAUACCACCCUUUAAUGUUUGAUGUUCUAACGUGGACCCGUAAUCCGGGUUGCGGACAGUGUCUGGUGGGUAGUUUGACUGGGGCGGUCUCCUCCUAAAGAGUAACGGAGGAGCACGAAGGUUGGCUAAUCCUGGUCGGACAUCAGGAGGUUAGUGCAAUGGCAUAAGCCAGCUUGACUGCGAGCGUGACGGCGCGAGCAGGUGCGAAAGCAGGUCAUAGUGAUCCGGUGGUUCUGAAUGGAAGGGCCAUCGCUCAACGGAUAAAAGGUACUCCGGGGAUAACAGGCUGAUACCGCCCAAGAGUUCAUAUCGACGGCGGUGUUUGGCACCUCGAUGUCGGCUCAUCACAUCCUGGGGCUGAAGUAGGUCCCAAGGGUAUGGCUGUUCGCCAUUUAAAGUGGUACGCGAGCUGGGUUUAGAACGUCGUGAGACAGUUCGGUCCCUAUCUGCCGUGGGCGCUGGAGAACUGAGGGGGGCUGCUCCUAGUACGAGAGGACCGGAGUGGACGCAUCACUGGUGUUCGGGUUGUCAUGCCAAUGGCACUGCCCGGUAGCUAAAUGCGGAAGAGAUAAGUGCUGAAAGCAUCUAAGCACGAAACUUGCCCCGAGAUGAGUUCUCCCUGAGACUUAGAGUCUCCUGAAGGAACGUUGAAGACGACGACGUUGAUAGGCCGGGUGUGUAAGCGCAGCGAUGCGUUGAGCUAACCGGUACUAAUGAACCGUGAGGCUUAACCUU
rnacentral:rRNA from 1 species